AUGAACGCUGGCGGCGUGCCUAAUACAUGCCAGUCGAGCGAACAGACGAGGAGCUUGCUCCUCUGACGUUAGCGGCGGACGGGUGAGUAACCCGUGGAUAACCUACCUAUAAGACUGGGAUAACUUCGGGAAACCGGAGCUAAUACCGGAUAAUAUAUUGAACCGCAUGGUUCAAUAGUGAAAGACGGUUUUGCUGUCACUUAUAGAUGGAUCCGCGCCGCAUUAGCUAGUUGGUAAGGUAACGGCUUACCAAGGCAACGAUGCGUAGCCGACCUGAGAGGGUGAUCGGCCACACUGGAACUGAGACACGGUCCAGACUCCUACGGGAGGCAGCAGUAGGGAAUCUUCCGCAAUGGGCGAAAGCCUGACGGAGCAACGCCGCGUGAGUGAUGAAGGUCUUCGGAUCGUAAAACUCUGUUAUUAGGGAAGAACAAAUGUGUAAGUAACUAUGCACGUCUUGACGGUACCUAAUCAGAAAGCCACGGCUAACUACGUG
rnacentral:rRNA from 1 species